rnacentral:tRNA from 1 species
GCUGGCAUUGCAAUGCGACCUGCGCAUUGCCAGUGCCAGUGCGACGUUCGGUCUGCCGGAAGCCGCCGUCGGAUCGAUUCCGGCGGUCAGCG